CUCCCUCCGGCGGCGGCGCGUGGCCGUGACGUCACAGUGCGGGCGUUUCGAAGGCAACUGCCGCUAGAGCUGAAACGCCUCCUCCUGCAGGACUCUAGGGCUUGGAGAUUAGGCCAGGGGCCUCUACAAAAACCUGGGUCAUACUAUGAGUUCUGCAGCCACCGGAUUUCGUAUGCCUUGCCUACUCUUUCAGCUUUAGUUGUGUUGCCUCUCAGGGCCCUUCCACACAGUCAUGUAUCAAGACAGAAAGCCCCACAGUUCUGGUUUGAAAUGGGUUAUCAGAGGUCCACACUGCCAUAUAGUCCAGUUUAAAGGAGAAAAUGUGGGAUUUUCUUCCUUGAUAUUCUGGGUUAUAUUGCUGUGUGGAAGGACCCCCUUGGUUCAGUACCUGCUGCUUAGGCCUCCUUUCCCUCAGGCCUCAUACAAUUGUAGAGUUAGAAGAGACCAUGUGGUCCAUCUUGUCCAAGCAUGGGCAAACUAUGGCCUGGGGUCACUUGCCUCAGGCCCUCCUCGUUUUCCCUUUCCUCUUGGCAUAAGGACAUGGUGGUUCGCCACAUCCUUAUGCCAAAAAGAUGGGGGAGGAAGGCACAUAGCAGCUGAGAGCCCCUGGAGUGCUCUCAGCCACUAUGUGUCUCACCCUCCUCUUGGCAUACUAUUUAUUUUAUUUACAGUAUUUAUAUUCCGCCCUUCUCACCCUAAAGGGGACUCAGGGUGGAUCACAAUGUACAUAUACAUGGCAAACAUUCAGUGCCAUUAAACAUACAACAUGCAGAAAGAGACACGGAGGUUAUUUAACAUUUUCCAGCUUCCGGUUUCAUGAGGGUAUGCGCAGUUCUGGCCACAGGGGGAGCUGCUGCUUCAUCCACUGUGAGACUUGAGUCCUUCAUGGAGUACUUCCUCAUUCUUCCACACACACGCUGUUGGACAUUUUGAUGGUGACGUAAAUUAGUUAAAUUAGCCUCUCCGCAUAAGCGGUCCCUAAAUUUUCCUACUUCACAGAUGCAACUGUCUUUCGAGUUGCUUAGGAAAACAACAAGCUAGGUUAUUUAAUGGUCGGGCACUCAAUCAGACCUGGGCUGGUUUUGAACUCAUGACCUCUUGGUCAGUAGUGAUUUACCGCAGCUGGCUACUAACCAGCUGCGCCAUAGCCCGGCCCAGCAUAAGGACGGUGAGGGCAAUCUCAUCCUUAUGCCGGGAGGACGACUCAAGGAAGACAUGUUGCAACUGCGAACCCUCCAAAGCACACUCAGUCACUCUCUUGUCUCACUCUCCUCCCAGCAUUCUGCCAAGAGGAUAGCCCGAGUAUUGGGGGAGGAGGAUGGGAAAGAGGAUUGAGGCAGUCACCACAAGUUCCACCUUCCUCCCAGCAUAAGGAUGGCACUCGCUCCUGCAGCUGGACCUUAUCUUCUCUCAAGAUACCCACACCUUUAACUGCUGGAUUUUGGGCACCCCAUUUAGUUUAUAUUAAAAGGACAUGUUUUACAGCCCUUAAAAAUGGGGUAUCUUUAGAGUAGGCAUGUUCAAAGUCCAGUCCAGGGGCCAGUUUCAGCCCUUGUUCAAAUUUCCACUGGCCCUCUCUCUUCAGUCCUCGCUCCCUUGUUUCUUUACUUCCUCCCUCCCUCGACUUCCUCUUUUCAUCCCCUCUUUCUUGGGGCUCAGGGCCCUGGAAAAGACGGGCUCCUUGGGAGGAGAGAAAGAGAGAUGGCGGCCUCUUGCCUCCCUUCACCCUGAUUAAGCAUCGCCUUCUCAGGUGGCUCCAGCUUUGGGCAUUCUGUCCCAGUGACUCCUUGUCUCUCUCUGUCUCUCUUCUCCCAUAACAUUUUCUUUAUUUCUUUACAAAGGAAGGCUCUCCAAUUGCCCUGCUUGCCCCAGGUGCUUGCUGCUUCUGCUGGCGCCAUUGCUGCUGUUGCUGCAUGGCUGGGAAGGGCAGACCAUGGGGGCAGAGCACCUGUCUGGAUUCCCUCCGCCCCCCCCCCCCCCCCAACUUUGUCCCGCAAAUUUCCAAAAAGGUUGCCCUUCGCUGUGACUCCUCCCUUGGAAGGAAAGGGGAGAACCAGGCAACAACUAUAAGCCCCCCAGCCACAAUCAAAGCCCUUCUGACAGAUGGUCUGUUGAAAAGCCUCCAGAGAAGGAGACUCUACCAAACUUUGAGACGGUAUAUGCCUUGUCUGAAGGCACCACAAUAACAUCCUGAUUAACGACUCAUCAGCCAAAACCAGGCCCAUUGAAAUACUGUUUCAGAAGCGAGCAAGUUGCUUCUGGUGUGAGAGAAUUGGCCGUCUAUAGAGAUUUUGCAUAGGGGAACGCCCGGAUAUGUUACCAUCCUGUGGAAGACUUCUCAUGUCCCUGCAUGGGAAGCUGGGGCUGACAGAUGUGCGCUCACGCCAUCUCGUAGAUUCGAAACGUCCAUCUUCAGGUGUUGUCAAAUGCCUCAGCGUAUAUAUUUUGACAGAAGAGUCUCUUCCUACCUAGUCCAAAUAUAAAGGUAAGUGUUCAUCUCAAUUUUGCAGUAAUACUUAUUUUUAGCCUGGUUGCAACAGCAGAUUUGUUCUGAA